rnacentral:rRNA from 2 species
UAUCAAUAAGCGGAGGAAAAGAAACCAACAGGGAUUGCCCCAGUAACGGCGAGUGAAGCGGCAACAGCUCAAAUUUGAAAUCUGGCUCUCGGCCCGAGUUGUAAUUUGUAGAGGAUGCUUUUGGCGCGGAGCGGACAAAGUCCCCUGGAACGGGGCGCCAUAGAGGGUGAGAGUCCCGUAUCGUCCAAUCUCCAAGCCUCUGUAAAGCUCCUUCGACGAGUCGAGUAGUUUGGGAAUGCUGCUCUAAAUGGGAGGUAUAUGUCUUCUAAAGCUAAAUACCGGCCAGAGACCGAUAGCGCACAAGUAGAGUGAUCGAAAGAUGAAAAGAACUUUGAAAAGAGAGUUAAAAAGUACGUGAAAUUGUUGAAAGGGAAGCGCUUGUGACCAGACUUGGGCUUGGUUGAUCAUCCAGGGUUCUCCCUGGUGCACUCUUCCGGCUCAGGCCAGCAUCAGUUUGCCCCGGGGGACAAAGGCGUCGGGAAUGUGGCUCCCUCCGGGGAGUGUUAUAGCCCGGCGUGUAAUACCCUGAGGCGGACUGAGGUUCGCGCAUUCGCAAGGAUGCUGGCGUAAUGGUCAUCAGUGACCCGUCUUGAAACACGGACCAAGGAGUCGUCUUCGUAUGCGAGUGUUCGGGUGUCAAACCCCUACGCGUAAUGAAAGUGAACGCAGGUGAGAGCUUCGGCGCAUCAUCGACCGAUCCUGAUGUUAUCGGAUGGAUUUGAGUAAGAGCAUACGGGGCCGGACCCGAAAGAAGGUGAACUAUGCCUGUAUAGGGUGAAGCCAGAGGAAACUCUGGUGGAGGCUCGCAGCGGUUCUGACGUGCAAAUCGAUCGUCAAAUAUGGGCAUGGGGGCGAAAGACUAAUCGAACCUUCUAGUAGCUGGUUUC